UACUCUGUCAUUUUCAUAUUUUAGGUUAUGUUUAUGUUACGAUUUUUCAGAACAGAUUUUUAUUUUCUGUUUCCGCAGAGUGGCUGUGCAGUUGGCAUUUACAAAAAAAAUUGAUUAUCGGUGAAGAAUGAAAUAUAAUUUAUAAUGGGUGUAAUUAGAAAAACAAUUAACUGGUAUGCAAGACUAGGUCCAAGCCACGGACCAUCGCCUCCGCCUUACAAACAUGUUGUUCAAAUUGGAGACCCAACAUUACGUAAAGUAUCGGAGCCGGUUCCUUUAGAGAAAAUAAAAACCAAAGAAAUUAAAAGUGUGAUUGAAAAGCUGAGUUAUGUAAUGAAUAGAUAUGGCAGUGUAGGAAUGGCGGCACCGCAAGUUGGAGUUAAUUUAAGAAUAUUUGUUAUGAGGCUUACGGAAAAACAAAUAUCAGAAAUGUCGGCAGAAGUUAUUAAACUGAGGAAUAUAAGUGUUGUGCCGUAUACUGUUUUUGUUAAUCCUCAGUUGAAAGUGAUGGAUUAUCAAAAAGUUAUUCAACCAGAAGGAUGUGAAAGUGUUAAGUUCUUCAAUGCAGAGGUAGCCCGAUACAAUGCUGUUCAAAUUACAGGCUAUAACCCAGAAGGUGAGUCAAUAUCACAGCUAUACAAAGGCUGGGCAGCUAGAAUAGCUCAGCACGAAAUGGAUCACCUAGACGGGAAGCUGUACACAGAUAUUAUGGACAGAAAGAGCCUUUGUUGCACUCUUUGGGAAGAAGUCAACUUGGCUAAAGGAAAGAUUGCCGUACCAUUCUCACCCGAAUGAGUUGUUUUGUUAGGACUUCACAAAGAUGAUAAAACUCCAGAUAGAAUUUCUCUAAUUCAAAGGUUGCCUGGUAGAGCUCACUAAUAGCAAGCAAUAAGGCAGACAUUUGUAUCCUACUUUUGUCUGUUUUCUUGUUCUUGUAUUGUAAUUUUCCUUCUGGUAGUGUACAAAUAAAGUGUAUAAUAAUAGGCAACACUCAUACAAUUCUAGUUUAAUAAUAAAAAGCAAAGCUUGUAACACAGCUUCUAACAAAAUCUUGAGGCUUUGACACCACUGGCAGAUAAAAAUUCCAUGAACAUUAAACAGCCAAGCCGUACUUUUUUAACCAAGAUGUAGAGUUUGUAGAAUCAGAGCUUGUAAG